CCGAGUUAUACAACUCAUCAAACCCCUGUGAACAUACCUAACUAUGUGCUUCGGCGGAAUCAGACCGGCCCUGUAACAACGGGCCGCCCCCGCCAGAGGAUCCCCUAACUCUGUUUUUAUAACUUUUCUGAGUAAACAACAAAUAAAUUA
rnacentral:misc_RNA from 1 species